rnacentral:rRNA from 1 species
UACGUAGGGUGCAAGCGUUUAAUCGGAAUUACUGGGCGUAAAGCGUGCGCAGGCGGUUAUGUAAGACAGGUGUGAAAUCCCCGGGCUUAACCUGGGAACUGCAUUUGUGACUGCAUAGCUAGAGUACGGUAGAGGGGGAUGGAAUUCCGCGUGUAGCAGUGAAAUGCGUAGAUAUGCGGAGGAACACCGAUGGCGAACGGCAAUCCCCUGGACCUGUACUGACGCUCAUGCACGAAAGCGUGGGGAGCAACAGG